CGAAAGAGGGAGAGAGAUGAAAAGAAGAAAAGAAAGAUGGAAAAGAAGAGCUAAGGAGUGGGGUUGAUUAGGAGGAGCAAGUGAAUAGAAAGAAGAGAGAAGGAAAGAGAGAGAGAGAAAUUAGUGAGCUCAGGCAUGUUGGCGGGAGAGUUUUACCAAGAAUUUAGUUGGUAAUAAUCAUCAUCAUUUCCAUCUUUCUUUCUUUGUCUCUGUGGGUUUCUUCAUCUCCAUUCAUUUACGUUUUUUUUCUGUACUCUUUCAUACCUCAUCAACGUCAUUUUUAUCCCAUACUGGACACUUUGACUGGAUGAAUGCGUUUCUAGACCAUGUUCAUGUUGAACUAUUCAUGACUAGAUCCACAUUCAUCCAGGCAACCAAUUGAUUCAAACCCAAAUUGGAAUGAAGAAGCAACGAAUGAAGUUUUAUAUGAAAGGUUCCAGAAAGCUAUGUUAUUGGUUGGUCAAGAAUUUCAUACAAGAGUCAGUUAUUAUAGUAAAGUUUGGUAUCCUGCUAAAAAUAUAUAAAACAAGCUGUGAGCGAUUGUAAAACUGUGCAUCCCUCAGGAACAAUAAUUGAUUUGAGUUUCAAUGGAGGUGGACCAUGGAAAGAGCAUUUAUUCGCCGUAGAAAAAGAAAUGGACAUUGUUGGAGAGAUAAAAUUCGCCAUAUUCCAAGAUCUCAGCAAAGAUUGGAGAGUGUGCUGUGUUCCUAUAUUCGCCAAAUCGUUUACUCUGAGAACAACUCUUCAUAUUGAAUGGCGAGGUUUAAGGGAUGAAAAGUUGUCACAAGUUAGUGAUAUUCCUGAUUGCAUAUUUGUCCAUGCUACAGGUUUCAUUGGUGGAGCUCGAACUAGAAAAGCAUGUGCUAAAAUGGCAGCAAAGACUCUAGAUUCAGCAGCAAAGGAAGAGUCGAAAGAGUAAACAUAGUAUUCUCUUCCGAAGCGUUGUUGAGAGAACUUACUGGUGGCUCAAGCAUAUAUUCAAGCUCAAAGAUUCUAAGCUUGUUUCACGAUUUGGACUCCAGUUCUUCACUUAUUUGAAUUGCUUCUGUCACAAUUGUUUCUAAUUUUGUGAUUCAAUUACUAACUACAGACUCAGAAGCCAAAAUGUAGUUUCAGUCGUUUUACACAUUUCGACACAUCUGAUAUUACUGUAAGUACCAGAUGAGGAGAAUGCUGUAAAGACAUAAAACGAAUGAUACUGACAUUUAUUAUGAUUUUUAUGACGAACGAGAUUAAAAAUUGUUAAAUAUUUUA